GUGGCUCAAUGGCAGAGCAUCUACUUUUCAUGGCCUGCAGAAGGUCUCCUGGUUCAACCCCUGGGCA
rnacentral:tRNA from 1 species